UGGGGAAUAUUGGACAAUGGGCGCAAGCCUGAUCCAGCAAUGCCGCGUGUGUGAAGAAGGCCUUCGGGUUGUAAAGCACUUUUAUCAGGAGCGAAACGCUGUCGGCUAAUACCCGGCGGAACUGACGGUACCUGAGGAAUAAGCACCGGCUAACUUCGUGCCAGCAGCCGCGGUAAUACGAAGGGUGCAAGCGUUAAACGGAAUUACUGGGCGUAAAGCGUGCGUAGGCGGUGACUUAAGUCUGCUGUGAAAUACCGGAGCUUAACUUCGGAACUGCCAUUGAUACUAUAUGUCUUGAAGAUUGUGGAGGUAAGCGGAAUAUGUCAUGUAGCGGUGAAUUGCAUAGAUAUGACAUAGAACACCGAUUGCGGUGGCAGCUUGCUACGCAAAUAUUGACGCUGAGGCACGAAAGCGUGGGGAUCAAACA
rnacentral:rRNA from 1 species